AUUCUGCCCAAGCGGGGAAGGAUGAGAAGCUUCGACCAAGGUUCGACUUGAGCGCCAGCGAGAGAGCGUUGCCGCAGGCAACGACCCGAAGGGCGAAGCGCGCA
rnacentral:sRNA from 1 species